rnacentral:rRNA from 1 species
ACAGAGGGUGCGAGCGUUGUUCGGAAUUACUGGGCGUAAAGCGCGCGCAGGCGGCCUUUUAAGUCUGACGGUGAAAUGCCGGGGCUCAACCCCGUGCCCGCCGCGGAUACUGGGGGGCUGGAGCACUGUAGAGGCAGGCGGAAUUCCGGGUGUAGCGGUGGAAUGCGUAGAGAUCCGGAAGAACACCGGUGGCGAGGGCGGCCUGCUGGGCAGUGGCUGACGCUGAGGCGCGACAGCGUGGGGAGCAAACAGGA